rnacentral:misc_RNA from 1 species
AAGUCGUAACAAGGUUUCCGUAGGUGAACCUGCGGAAGGAUCAUUAACGAAUAACUAUGGUGUCUUGGUUGUAGCUGGCUCCUCGGAGCAUUGUGCACGCCCGCCAUUUUUAUCUAUCCACCUGUGCACCGACUGUAGGUCUGGAUGACUCUCGUGCUCUCUGAGUGCGGAUGCGAGGAUUGCCCUCUUGAGGUGUCUCUCCUCGAAUUUCCAGGCUCUACGUCUUUUUACACACCCCACAAGUAUGAUAUAGAAUGUAGUCAAUGGGCUUGAUCGCCUAUAAAACACUAUACAACUUUCAGCAACGGAUCUCUUGGCUCUC